GACACACCGAGGUUCUACUGGAAGGCUGAGCAGGAUUUCAGAUCAAUUUUCUAGUCAAGACAUUGCAUCCCAUGCUUUAAGAUGAAACCUGUGGGCUGAACCCAAUCCACUCAGCCUGAGAUAAGGAGAGAACAGACCUCACUUACAUGACCUAGUGACCACCACCUCCUCUAAGUCACACUGGGAAGAAGGAACCCCUUCCUUGUCGGUAUACAAGAAGAGAAUCAGCCCCACUGGAGUUACUGCUGAUUUACAAUAGGGCAAGAAUCCAUCUGGGAGCUUGGCUGGGCUGAUGAGGGAAGUGAUAAAGCAAAGCAGGUGGGGCUGUGCAAUAGGCCAGAGCCCAGGGACCUUCAACACAGCUGUCUGCAUCAGCCUGGCCUUGGGUACCUACCUGUAUUGUCCACCUGGGCAAAGAACUUAAAGUCUCUUUUUUUAAUGAGCAAAAGCAAUGCUUUGCCUUUUACAAUAACCUGCAAAUGUACAUUACACAGUCAAGUGACGCUCUCAGAUACAGGUGUGAUUCUAAGGACAGAGCAAGGCAAUCACUGCCAUAGAUAAGAAUCAAAUGGCUUUUUCAA